rnacentral:misc_RNA from 1 species
AUCAAGCACGCCCGCCUCGCCAUGCUCGCCAUGCUCAUCUUCUACUUCGAGGCCGGCCAGGGCAAGACGCCGCUCGGCGCCCUCGGCCUAUGAGCAAUCAACCCCGCUCUCGCUCGCCAUGGAUCUGACACACAGAGUUGGGUUUCGCUUGCAUGCGCGCUUCGUGUUUGAUCGCUAGCUGUUGCAUCGAUCGGGCGCGUGCAUGGGCUCGGAUCGAACGAUUGGAGGUCGGAGGAGCAGUAGCAAAAUGUAUCUUGUUGUGUUCGUGGCCGCUUUUGGGUUGGGUGGUGUGCGUGAACCAAAUGGGGGAAUUAAUCAAGGAGUUAUUUUUUUUUAUUUUUCUUCCCAGUGUAUGUACCAUAUGUAAUAUAUAUAAUUAAGGCUGCAGGAUGAGCAAGG